rnacentral:rRNA from 1 species
UACGGAGGGAGCUAGCGUUGUUCGGAUAUACUGGGCGUAAAGCGCACGUAGGCGGCGCAGCAAGUCAGGGGUGAAACGUCCCGGGCUCCGAACCCGACCUGACCUUGAACUGCAGUGCUAGAAUCUUGGAGAGGCGAGUGGAAUUCCGAGUGUAGAGGUGAAAUUCGAUAGAUAUUCGGAGGAAGCACCACGUGGCGGAAGGACGG